rnacentral:rRNA from 1 species
AAAUUGAAGAGUUUGAUCAUGGCUCAGAUUGAACGCUGGCGGCAGGCCUAACACAUGCAAGUCGAACGGUAACAGGAAGCAGCUUGCUGCUUUGCUGACGAGUGGCGGACGGGUGAGUAAUAUCUGGGAAACUGCCUGAUGGAGGGGGAUAACUACUGGAAACGGUGGCUAAUACCGCAUAA